rnacentral:lncRNA from 1 species
AGUCUGGGCGGAGGAGGGCACCAGCAGGAGAGAGGUCCUACAACUCGGAGUUCGGAGUUCGGCAGAAAGGCCUCCCCGGGAGGGGCUGGGAGCUCCCCAAGCAAGGGCAGGCACUUCCCCUCCCUUUGGCCACUUGGCCCUGGAGGGCUUCUUUGGAGAUAAAUCCCACAGAAGGGGAGGGGAAAUUAUGUAACUCAGGGAAAAACGCUAUGUGGAGUCCCAUGUACUCACAAUCUCUCUGGAGGAAACCAGGCUUCACCGUCGCCAGGUGACAACGAAAUGCCCUAACCCCGGGCUGCCAGCAGCACAGGGCCAUGGAAUCCAGGGAGAAACAAGCUCUGAGCUGAGGGGUGUGUAAAAUGGAGGUUCUGAUUCGGUAGCUCCGGGGCGGGCCUGAGCUCUGCAUUUCUGAUGCUCCCAGGGAUGCUGAUGUUGCUGGUCUGGGGACCGCUCUGAGGUCAGGGCUGUGGAGGGCAGGCACCAGGCUGAGCAGCGGCACUGCUGGUGCUGAGUCAGCUCUUCCCUCAGCCCCUGAGGUCUGGAGUGCUUCCCGUUGGGAGAUUUACUAGUUUUCUUGCUUGGCUACCCGGCAUUAACAGGCAUUGGAACCGUGGGAAGCGAGUCUCCUGCCCAUCUCUGUUCAUCCCGGACAGUUGCAAUUGUGGAGGGACCCUCCAAUGACAUUGGACACUGGAGGCCCAGAGAAG